rfam:Ricinus communis cultivar Hale ctg_1100012361468, whole genome shotgun sequence.
GUAUCUAUGGUGUAGACAUUAUAAUAAAAGUAAUUUGAAGCAAUCUCAUGCUUCAUAAAAGGACUUAGUAUCCUUUUGAUAAAAGUUAAAAAUUUCAACCCUUAAUUC